rnacentral:rRNA from 1 species
CAGUAGCCGCGGUAAUACGUAGGGUGCAAGCGUUAAUCGGAAUUACUGGGCGUAAAGCGUGCGCAGGCGGUCCGCUAAGACAGAUGUGAAAUCCCCGGGCUUAACCUGGGAACUGCAUUUGUGACUGGCGGGCUAGAGUAUGGCAGAGGGGGGUAGAAUUCCACGUGUAGCGGUGAAAUGCGUAGAGAUGUGGAGGAAUACCGAUGGCGAAGGCAGCCCCCUGGGCCAAUACUGACGCUCAUGCACGAAAGCGUGGGGAGCAAACAGGAUUAGAUACCCCUGUAGUCCCUGUCUCUUAUAC